AUGACGGCGGUCGCGUGUCGUGUCUCCCCUCCUUCGCACCGGCGGCCACAGGAAUCAGGCGCUGCAGGGCCGCGCGCUCACCACGAUGAGGUAAGCUUCUGUAUCACCAAACAUGCAGGGGUGGCGUACAUGUUGUCCUCUACCAUCUUCUUCAGCCUCAACAAAAAUUCUUCAAGGGCAACUGGCGACUUCUGUGACAUUAAGAUUGCUGCAAAAUCAAGAUUGUUGCUUGGACGAAUCGCUGUGACGAGUGACAUGAGCUCUGCUUGCAGCCUCCUCUCCUCGCAUUGUUGGAUGUGGUUCCUCUGUGAAUCUGAAGGCUCGCCUUGCUCUUGGCCACCGUCCAUUUGGUUUUCAAUGUCAUUUCCACAACAAGAAGGAAGCAAGCGUUCCCAACACCAGGGUGUGGUGCUCACCUCUGCUUGUACUAGAAGCAAUUCCGCAAGUACCUGCGAUGAUAUAUAUCAUAUUUGUUUAGCUCAAAAUAUUUAA
rnacentral:rRNA from 1 species